UUCUCAUCCAGGAUGAUGCAGUUUGACAAUUUCCAUGGAGGUGAUUGAUGAUGAUAAAUAAUUGGUGAAGUAGGCCUAAUAGAACAGUGACUGGACCACAAAGAGAAAUACAAACUACAGCAGUUAUAGGAGACUGGUGUAACAGAUGUUUUCAUUCAAGAAAUCCAACAAGUCAACAUUGAAGACUUGGGAACCACGUGAUGAAGAUGGAAAAGGUUUUUUUCCAUGUCCAAAUUCAUGACGUAUGAAAUUUUUUAUUGAUUUUUAUUAAAACUGGUUGCAAAAAGAGAAGCUAUAAACAUACAAAUAGGAGCGGCGGA